UCCUCGAAUUUGUUGGGUAUUUCAUGCGGUUGUUUGUUGAGAUGUCAGCAUACUGAUGUUCCCUUUCCCUGGCCACCCAUUGUUUUUAAUUUUGUUCCAUUUGAAGUGAAAUUUCUUGACGGUUGAAAAAAUGGGAGGGGGCAAUGUCAACAAUUUAGGGCGGAAUUAGCGAGAAGCUCAAUUUUGUAGAAGACGGAAUAUAGGAUUGGAGGUCCUCUUGUCUUCCCAUGUGAACCUGAUAGGGUAAUCGGGUGUUUCAUCUUGAAUUGCAAUUAUCAAAUGCACCAGAAGUUGUUUCUGCUUCGCACAGGCUGGUGUUGUUGCGAUUUUCGUCUAAUAUGCCCUAGGUUUAUCAUAGUAUGUUUUUUCUUGUUGCUCUGCUACAGCAGGGGAUGUUUGUUUGCUGAUAGAAAUGGGAGCCAAGAUCAGAAUAUAAGUGUACACUAUGAUGGGACUUCUCUGGUGGGAAAGAACGGUACACAGAAAAAAGGAGGAGGGAUUGGUGGGAGAAAAGCGCUUAAUGAUAUCUCAAACUCGGCAAAGCCCAAUAUGAUUUCUAUUGGGAAAGAUGUUGAUGCCUCUACAUAGAAAUUGAGUGCAGGAACGAAAGAUAACAAUUCUAAAGGGUGGCAGGAAAGCAUUAGCUGAUCUUACAAACUCAAGCAAGUUGACGUCAAUUGCAGAAGAGCAAAUUCUCCAUAAUCAUCAGAAUUGCGUCAAAGCACAGAGAAAGGUGAUGGACAUGAGUUGCUUUCUGAAGGAAAUUGGAUUAGAUCAUGAUGAUGUCCUCGUGCAUCUAGGACCAUCUCCACAUGCACUAAAACCAUCAAUGAAGUCGAAGUCAUCAAUAUAUCAGCCAGAAAAGCCCAACGAAACAUUAUGUCCAAGUGGAAGAGAUGCCAGAACCGAUGUUUUAUGAUGAGGUACGUCAAUGUGAGCAAAAUCGAGCUUGUGCAUCUUUUCCCCCUUGUGUUGCAUCUCCUAAAUCACGAUAUAUCAGCUGGUCGGAUGACAGUGUUCUAGAUUUUGCAUUGAUUGGAACACCUAUCCAUUCAAAUCAUUGAUGGACACUUCUUUGAGCAGAAGAAUCACUCGCAUCCUAUUGAAAAUUGUUAAAUAGAUCCGUUGUAGUCAUCAGUCAGUCAGCUGUUUGACUGUUUACGUGUUUAGUUCUUCCUUGCUUCACAUUCUAUCACCUAGCUUAUGCUUUUGUAUUCUUUUCCUCCUAUUGUUUUUUCUAAUUUUUUUGUUCAGGUUAGAUUGGAUGAAUUGUUGCUAGUAGUUGUUUUCUAGACUGUUUCACUUGUCGAGUCUUUUAUUAAAAACCAGCAACAUGCUUGGCUUUGCUCUCA